rnacentral:lncRNA from 1 species
UUUUACAAUAAAAUAAUUUUGGGAAUUGUGUAUUAAAUAAUGGAAGAGUUUACUGUCUCCUCAAAACAUUUAGUAUUCUAUAAAUUUUGUCGUUGAUUUUAUUAGUGAAAUGUAUGAAAAAAGUGUAAAAUAAUUUUAAUAGCAUCCACGCAGAAUUAUUGCAAUAAAGUAAGUUGAUAUGUAUGUCAGGACAUUGUUAACAUGCACAUAGUGUUUAUAUUAGCCAUGCUCUUUAGCUAAUGUGUUAUAUUUCAUAUAAAUGCAUGAAAUAUCAACAUUCCUGGAUAAUAGUAACGCUAACUAGGUAUGUUGAAAAUAUUAAAAGUUAUUUAUUAAAUACAGUAGGAGUUUUUGUUAGCGUUCUGUAUACCUGAGUAUGCUUUUAAAUAAUAUAAUUAGAUAUUAAUUAAUUUAUCCGUAGUUCAUAUUUUCCAUUAUGCAAACUAUAAUGAAGGUAAAAUGCUGAUUAACACUUAUAAUCCAUGUCCAUGUAUGGCGUGUAUCAUGGUCUCACAACAGUAAAUCACCAAACUGCCAGAUUAAAAUUACUAAUCUUAACUUAUAAUUCAUCUAUAGUCAUCAAUAAUAACCCUAUAGCACCAGUCGAAGAAGUUGGGACAAAUUUACUAUAGGUUUUACGUACAAAAUGAUGAAUUAUAUGACAGACAAAAUGAAAUAUACGUUAAAUUUGGUCGUGGUGGUAAUCACUAAGUGAAUACAGAAAUUAAAACUAAAUACAGACACUUGACUCAAAGAGUGAUACAAAUUUUCUUAAAAUUUUGCAGAGCUUGUCAAACAAAAAUGUCAUCUAAACGAAAAGACCUUGUAGUUAAACCGAUUAUUCAUUCAGAAAUUAAGUAUCGUUAUCAGGUAUAUCUCAUCUGGGCCUGGAUAAACAACAGAGGCAUUGUGUACUACACAUUUCUGGGCGUAUAUUAUUUAAAAAAAAAAAUCGUUGAAAGUUAAAAACAAAUCUCAUUUUAUUUAUUUCACAAGUAGAUCCUAAAAACAAAUUUCUUGAGUUAUGUAAAAUUUAUAUCUACAAAUCACCAUUUUUUUUUUCAAUUUUUUUCUGUAAGCAUUUUUAUACUUCUAAUUUUUUUUUUGCAAAUUCAUGAAAAAAGUGUUGACAACGAUUGGUAGAAGUAACGGUACAGAAAUUAGUCAUCAUUCUUUUAUUUGAAAAAAAAAACUUUUUCUACUUUUAGAUUCCGAGCGUAUCGUAGUAGCUAUUGUUAUUACUAUAGUGUUUAUUUAUUAUUUUGUUCUUCUAGUCUGUGGACACGUUUCUUUCUAAUAAACUCCUUCCGAUUUGUAUAUGUGCCUAUUUUUCUGUAAGCACGAAGGUACUUUUUAGAUUAUUAACGCCAUGUUUCAAAUAAAAACACUUAAAAAAAAAUAUAAACGUACAAUUUCUCUAUUUUAUUAUUUUAUUAAAACACGGACGACGUUCUCUACGAAAAUAGGUCGUCCAUGUAUUAAUCGAAAAAUCACAAUAUAACUUUUUUGUGGCCUUUUCGAUAUACUUUCAAUCGGUAUCAAAACCAGAUUUUUGAGCCACUUUUGAGCUUUUAAGGAAUUUUACUUUAGGAUAGAGUUUUUUAACGGAAAAAAAGCUUAAAUCCGAAAAAUAACAAUUUAGCCUUUUCGUGGCCUUUAUGAUUUACUUUCAAACGGUAUCAACUUCACUCAGAAGAGUCAUUCAUCAAGCAAAGAUAUAUCUGUUAGAAAAGAUAUACCAUUUUAUGACGAAAUGAAAUCACCCUGUGUAUUAUAUGUACCUAAAUUUUAACUUAUAANUUAUAUUUUUAAAUUUAAUGAGUUUUAAUUUUAUUAUAAUAUAUCUGAUUUAGUCUGAUUCAAAUCAACUUUUGUUGAAUAGAUAAUUUACAACUUGGUGAUCUAAACCUCUAGCAAGAACAUUUGGAUAAUCAGUCGACUACAAUUAUAAGUAACGUUCAGCAAUUUUUACUGUCAACUAGAAUCAUACCUAUAUAGUAAAUAUAAAUUGUUAUGACCGUAACGUUUAACUGAAAUAUAUUAAAAUCAAAGCAUAAAUUUAAUAUUGUGUCUCCUAAAAAUAUCAUAUUAUUCGCGUAUCUAUUUCGGAUUUAUUGCAAAUAUGCUGAUAAAAUUUAUCGUUUCGUUUGUUAUUAUUUAUUCUUUUAUGCCGGUGUCAGUACAAGGUGAAGGUCCGUUUGCUCCUGAACCGCCAUCUCAUCUCCCUAAUGAUCCUGGGAAUCCAUCUAUUUCUCAUGAUUCUGACAUUUCAGAUACAGGAGUUCACCCUAACCGUUAUCCUGAUAGUUCACCCCCAGAUGAUUGUGGUGGUUUCGGUUGUUGCCCCUCACCUUGUAAGAGAAAUUUAACAUGGGCCGAAUAUAAUUGUAAUAAAGGUUAUCACAUGUAUAAACCCGAAAUACCAAAUUGUUAUUGCUGUAACUGAAUAAUUCAUUUAUUCGAGGCACAAUUGCAAACUAUUUUACAAAUUCCAUAAAAAUAUCCAAAAUGAUCUUUCCAUAAUUUAUUCGUUUAAUGAAGCACACUUCCAAAUUGAGGCACUGCUACAAUUUAAAUUAAUUUACACCUUAACUACAAUAAUAUUGGUUUGACAUUAUAUGCAUAUACCAUAAUAAUAAUAUAUUAUAAUAAAUUUGCUGUAAUAAUUAUACAUUAACUUUAUUAUUUUAGAUUAAAAGACAUUAAAAAUCAACUUUUGUCUGUACAAUAUUUGUGUAAUACAUUUAUCAUAAGUGAUAAAAUAAAAUAGUUUUUAAUUACAGAUUAUUUGUUGUAUUGAUUUCAUGAUAAAUUACUUACUCAUCAUAUCACCUAUAAUGAUACUGUGAAAGUUUAUUUAUUUGUUUGUAAUAUUGAAAACCUUAACUCCAAAAUUAAUACAAAACAAUAACUUUUAUUGUAUUUUUUAAAUUAAAUUUGUUGUAUUUAUUAAACUUAAUACGAGUCCUAGGCAAAUGAAUCAAAUUAAAAAAAACUUUAACGUUUAACAUUUUAAACGGUAUUUCUUUUGAAAAUGUGUAUGUAAAGAAUAAAAUAUGUUCCUUUAUAUAGUGUAUAGCUCAAACAAAUCAUUAUUGUAAAAGCAUAAUUAUCGACUGAACAUGAAGUAGACCUGGAUUGUUCGUCAGCGAUGGUUUACGGUAUAUAUUAAAUUAUUUAAGAGAGUGGCUACACUAUUCCCUUCUAUCCUAGGACGCUUUUUUUAUUUUUUUAUUGUUAAUCGGUUCGAAAUAUCCAUAGACUAGAAUAUUUAAUAGAAAACAUACAUUUGCCUUAUCUAGACUUGAUAAUACUUUUAAAUUGAUCGAACAAUUGAGGUAUUUCCAGACAUUUUAUUUGCAUGUUUUGUACUUUAUUUUAUCUGUAACUACAUUAAUUGGGUAUAUAAUUGUAAGACUAAACAGAUAUGCUUAUACAUUCAUCAAAUUGUUUAUUAGAAGACGUUCAUGUUUUUCGAAUAUAUUUUGCAUAUUAUACGUACAUAUCAUAUAUUUCCACUAUUAUUUUCGGCAUAAGAAUUAACAUACAGACACUUGUUAAGAACAGCAUUUACCUUUUACCACCUUUUUGGAAUCGUCACUCUUAUCCGUAAGUUAUGUCAUUCAAUAUUUUACUCCUAAACAUAAUAGUAAUUUGAAAGUAAAAUGAUAUGUAUGUCAGUACAUUGUUAACAUGCACAUAGUGUUUAUAUUAGCCAUGCUCUUUAGCUAAUGUGUUAUAUUUCAUAUUAAAGCAUGAAAUAUCAACAUUCCUAGAUAAUAGUAACGUUAACUAAGAAUGUUGAAAAUAUUAAAAGUUAAGUUCAAUAAUUUAUCUGCAGUUCAUAUUUACAAUUAUGCAAACUAUAAUGAAAUAAAAUACUGAUUAACACUCAUAAUCCAUGUCCAUGGUGUGUAUCAUGGUCUCACUACAGUAAAUCACCAAACUGCCAUAUUAUAAAUGUUAACUUAUAAUUCAUCUAUAAUCAUCAAUAAUAAACCUAUAGCACCAGUCGAAAAAGUUGGGACAAAUUUACUAUAGGUUUUACGUACAAAAUGAUGAAUUAUAUGACACACAAAAUGAAGUAUACAUUAAAUUGAGUCUUUCUUCAAGCAAUGAUAUAUCUGUAAGAAAAGAUAUACCNACAUCUAUCGAUCUAUUACAUCAUCUAUCUACAUUUAUCGGUUUUUUUCUAAUAAACUCGUUCCGAAUUGUAUGUGUGCCAAUUCUUCUGUAAGCACAAAGGUACUUUUUAGAUUAUUAACGCCAAGUUUCAAAUAAAAACACUUAAAAAAAAAUAUAAACGUACAAUUUCUCUAUUUUAUUAUUUUAUUAAAACAAGGACGACGUUCUCUACGAAAAUAGUUCGUCCAUGUAUUAAUCGAAAAAUCACAAUAUAACUAUUUUGUGGCCUUUUCGAUUUACUUUCAGUCGGUAUCAACUUCACUCAGAAGAGUCUUUCUUCAAGCAAUGAUAUAUCUGUUAGAAAAGAUAUACCAUUCUUUGACGAAAUGAAAUCACCCAGUGUAUUAUAUGUACCUAACUUUUCACUUAUAACGGAGGACACUCCCAUCUUUAGUACCACCACUAUUAUUAAGAUUAAGUGCAAAAUAUAAGAGUUUAAUUUAACUGUCUUCAAAUAAAUUACUUUGCAUGUGUUUGCAGCCACUGUUGUUGUAGGUGGAAAAUUAGGAAUGUAAAAUUCAGGCUGAAAUAUAAUGUAAAUCUGUAAAAAUCGAAAACCAUUGAUACCGAAAAAACAAUUCUGAGAGAGGUUUACUGAAAAAUAUUGCUGUGUCAACAAUACAUAUGUCAUAUGAAAGCAAAAUAGUUGCAUAUGCAUUAAACAUUUUCUUUAAAAAUAUUUGUUCAAUUUUAGUAUCUAUUUUACCGUUAUCCUGAUUUUGACAUAUUUAAUAUUUUGGGAAGGAUUUGAUUAUAAUAAAAUUUAUUUUAAUAAUAUAAUGAUAUUAUUAACAAAUGUAAUUUAUUAUUACUUAUUACAAAUAGUAAUUACAAUUACUACGUCCUAAUUAUAGUCAUAACAAAACAUUAAAUUCUACAAGUAUUAAUCGGCACAUAAUAGAUAUGAUGGCACCUAUAUUAUAUAAUACAUGACUCAUAUCAUACGUAAAUAUUUUGUACAACAAUAUUAUUCUAUUAUAUGUCUUUAAUAAUAAAGCAUAAUUCAAAAUUUUAAGUUAACAAAAAAAGUGAAAAUUUCCAUAAUUUUAGUAAUUUUCCAAUUAAAAUAAACACAAAAAAAUUAUUUUUGAUCCUGUAUCGAGUAGGCAGCGAACCUAGCGGUAUUUUAAACUGCAGUAAUUUUUUCAAUUAAUUUAUCAUAGACCGAAAAGUGAAAGUGAUUACACCAUAAUAAUCUACCUUAAAGGUAGGAUUAUAGUGUGUCAAUGAUUUUAAUGAUUACAAAAGUACAAUAUUUUAUAUUUUUAAAUUUAAUGAGUUUUAAUUUUAUUAUAAUAUAUCUGAUUUAGUCUGAUUCAAAUCAACUUUUGUUGAAUAGAUAAUUUACAACUUGGUGAUCUAAACCUCUAGCAAGAACAUUUGGAUAAUCAGUCGACUACAAUUAUAAGUAACGUUUAGCAAUUUUUACUGUCAACUAGAAUCAUACCUAUAUAGUAAAUAUAAAUUGUUAUGACCGUAACGUUUAACUGAAAUAUAUUAAAAUCAAAGCAUAAAUUUAAUAUUGUGUCUCCUAAAAAUAUCAUAUUAUUCGCGUAUCUAUUUCGGAUUUAUUGCAAAUAUGCUGAUAAAAUUUAUCGUUUCGUUUGUUAUUAUUUAUUCUUUUAUGCCGGUGUCAGUACAAGGUGAAGGUCCGUUUGCUCCUGAACCGCCAUCUCAUCUCCCUAAUGAUCCUGGGAAUCCAUCUAUUUCUCAUGAUUCUGACAUUUCAGAUACAGGAGUUCACCCUAACCGUUAUCCUGAUAGUUCACCCCCAGAUGAUUGUGGUGGUUUCGGUUGUUGCCCCUCACCUUGUAAGAGAAAUUUAACAUGGGCCGAAUAUAAUUGUAAUAAAGGUUAUCACAUGUAUAAACCCGAAAUACCAAAUUGUUAUUGCUGUAACUGAAUAAUUCAUUUAUUCGAGGCACAAUUGCAAACUAUUUUACAAAUUCCAUAAAAAUAUCCAAAAUGAUCUUUCCAUAAUUUAUUCGUUUAAUGAAGCACACUUCCAAAUUGAGGCACUGCUACAAUUUAAAUUAAUUUACACCUUAACUACAAUAAUAUUGGUUUGACAUUAUAUGCAUAUACCAUAAUAAUAAUAUAUUAUAAUAAAUUUGCUGUAAUAAUUAUACAUUAACUUUAUUAUUUUAGAUUAAAAGACAUUAAAAAUCAACUUUUGUCUGUACAAUAUUUGUGUAAUACAUUUAUCAUAAGUGAUAAAAUAAAAUAGUUUUUAAUUACAGUUUGUUUGCUGUAUUGAUUUCAUGAAACAUUACUUACUCAUCAUAUCACCUAUAAAGAUACGGUGAGAGUUUAGUUAUUUGUUUGUAAUAUUGAAAACCCUAACUCCAAAAUUAAUACAAAACAAUAACUUUUAUUGUAUUUUUUAAAUUAAAUUUGUUGUAUUUAUAAAACUUAAUACGAGUCCUAGGCAAAUGAAUCAAAUUAAAAAAACAUAUUUUAAAAAGUUAUUUGUUUGGAAAUGUGUAUGUAAAAAACAAAAUAUGUUCCUUAAUAUAAUGUAUUGCUUAAACAAAUCAAUGUUGUGAAAGCAAAAUUAUCGACUGAACAUGACUAAGACUUGGAUUGUUCGUCAGUUAUGGUUUACGGUAUAUAUUAAAUUAUUUAAAGAGUGGCUACACUAUUCCCUUUUAUCCUACGACGUCUUUUUUUUUUUUUAUUGUAAAUCGGUUCAAAAUAUCCAUUGACUAGAAUUUUUUACAGAAAACAUACAUUUGCCUUUUCUAGACUUGAUAAUAUUUUUAAAUUGAUCGAAAAUUUGACGCAUUUCCAGACAUUUUAUUUGCAAGUUUUGUACCUUAUUUUAUUCAGCAACUACAUUAAUUGGGUAUACAAUUGUAAGACUGAACAGAUAUGCUUAUACAUUUAUCAAAUUGUUUAUUCGAAGACGUUCAUGGUUUUCGGAAAUAUUUUGCAUAUUUUACGUACAUAUCAUAUAUUUCCACUUUUUUUUUCGGCAUGAGAAUUAACAUAGGGACACUUGUUAAGAACAGCGAUUUACCUUUUACCACCUUCUUGGAAUCUUCAGGAUAAGAGUCCUCUAGAUAUGUCAGUCAAUAUUUUACUCCUAUACAUAAUAAUAAAUGAUACCUAUUAUUGUAAUUGUGUAGAAAGCUUUAUCUUCUAAUUGAAUAAAAUUUAGGCAUCGAUUCUGGUUUCUAAAUGUAUUAUAAACAAUAAAUUAUUCUUAAUUAGACAUACAAUUGAGUCAUUAACUAUAAUAUUGAUUUUUGUUUCAAUAUCUAAUUAUCGUUAAAUGAUUUUGUUAAAACACAUUUUAAAAACUAAAUUUCUCUGACUCCUGGCUUAAUAAUUUUUCUGUUUUGUUUGUUCUAUUUAUAAUCAAAACCGUCAGUAUUUAAUUUCUCAUUAAAGUGAUAGGUAAUGGUAAUGGUAAUGAAUUUACUAUGUCGUAAAACGGGUUUUCCCAAUUAUUUUGAAAAAAACGCAUAGAAAAUGAUUUGAACGACCUUUUUUAUGAACCAACUAGAUUCAGAGUUCAACUAAAUUUUUCUAGUGGACUUUUUAAUUGAAAUAAUGCUAUAUAUUUUGGUCGAAUGUACAGAAUUAUUACAAGAUAAUUAUUUUUUUAAAAGUGUGUGACGAGCUGCACAAAACAGUUGCAUGCUAUAAAUCAUAGAACUGUGUUGCCAAUGUUUUUAUAUUAAAUAACUCUGCGAAUUUUUUUGGUUUUUUAAUUAAUUAAAAGGUACUAAAGUACAUUUUGAUAAAAGUUUAAAAAAAUUUUAAUCGCAUCUAUGCAGAAUUAUUGCAAUAGAUUAAGUUGUUAUGUAAGUUAUGGACACUGUUAACUCGUAGAUAAUGUUUAUAUUAACUUGCUUUUAUGCUAAUGUGUAAUUUUUCGUUUAAAAACAUGAAAUCUCAUCAUUUCUUGAUAAUAGUUACGCUAACCAGGAAUAUUGGACAAUGUUAAAAGUUAUUAUUUAAAUAUAGUAGAAGUUUUUGUUAAAAUUCUGUGUAUUCGGGUAUGCAUUUAAAUAAUAUUUUCAGACAUUAAAUAAUUUAACUGCAGUUCAAGAUUAGAUAAGAAUCCAUAUUUACCUUUAUGAAAAAUAUAAUGAAAUAAAAUACAGAUAAACACUCAUAAUCCAUGUCCGUGUCUGGUGUGUAUCAUGGACUCAGAACGGUAAAGCGUAGAACUGCCAGAUAUUAAUUACUUAUCAAAAUUUAUAAUUCAUGAUUUAUAAUAUUCCAAUCUGAAAUGAGUCCGUUUUUACUAGUGGUUUGUUAGGCACAAAGGUUGAAAAGCUAGUAAAAUUGUGAAAUUUUAAUUUCAUUUAUAAUUAUAAUUUCAUAAUAUAAUAAUAUUAAAACAAAUGUUAUUUGUUAUUACUUAUUACAAAUAGUCACAACAAUUAUUACCUCCUAAUAAUAGUAGUAUCAAAGCAUUAAAUUGUAGAAGUAAUAAUUGACACAUAAUAGGUAUGUUGGCACGUAUAUUAAAUAAUACAUGACUAAUAUCAUACGUAAAUAUUUUUUACAAAAAUAUUAUGUUAUUAUAUGUCUAUAUUAAUAAAGCAUAAUUUAUAAUUUUUAGUAAACAAAAAAAGUGAAAAUUUCCAUAAUUUUAGUAAUUUUCAAAUUAAAAUAAACACAAAAAAAUAAUUUUUGAUCCUGUAUGGAGUAGGCAGUGAACCUAGCGGAAUUUUAAACUGCAGUAAUUUUUUAAAUUAAUUUAUCUUAGACCAUCAAGUGAAAGUGAUUACACCAUAAUAAUCUACAUUAAAGGUAGGAUUAUAGUGUUUCAAUGAUUUUAAUGAUUUCAAUAGUACAAUAUUUUAUAUUUGAACAUUUAAUAACUUUAAAUUUUAUUGUAAUAUAAUUGAUUUUGUCUGAUUCAAAUCAACUUUUGUUGAAUAGGUAAUUUACAAACUUGGCUAUCUAAACCUCUAGCAAGAACAUUUGGAUAAUCAGUCAACUACUACUAUAACGUAAAGUGUAGCAAUUAUUACUGGCAACUGGAAUCAUACCUAUUACUAAAUAUAUAUUGUUAAGACCGUAACGUUUAAGUGAAAUAUAUUAAAAUCAAAGCAUAAAAUUAAUUUUGUGUCUCCUAAGAAUAUCGUAUUAUUCGAGUAUCUAUUUCGGAUUUAUUGCAAAUAUGCUGUUAAAAUUUAUCGUAUCGUAUGUUAUUAUUUAUUCUUUUAUGCCGGUGUCAGUACACGGUAUAGGUGAGCAUACUCCUUCACCUCCACCGCCAUCUCAUCUCCCUGAUGAUCCGUAUUUCGAGGACCCUGGCAAUCCCUCUAUUUCUUAUGCACCUUACAUUCCAGGUACUCCUGGUAACCCUCCCCGUCAGAUUAAAAUACAUUA